rnacentral:rRNA from 1 species
CUGAGAGGGUGAUCGGCCACAUUGGGACUGAGACACGGCCCAAACUCCUACGGGAGGCAGCAGUGGGGAAUAUUGCCCAAUGGGGGAAACCCUGAUGCAGCAACGCCGCGUGAAGGAAGACGGUUUUCGGAUUGUAAACUUCUUUAUUAGGAAGAAUAAUAACGAGCUAAGAGCAAGCCACGGCUAACUACGUGCCAGCAGCCGCG